rnacentral:rRNA from 1 species
UGCGUAGGUGGUUUCUUGAGUCAGAGGUGAAAGGCUACGGCUCAACCGUAGUAAGCCUUUGAAACUGGGAAACUUGAGUGUAGGAGAGGAGAGUGGAAUUCCUAGUGUAGCGGUGAAAUGCGUAGAUAUUAGGAGGAACACCAGUUGCGAAGGCGGCUCUCUGGACUGUAACUGACACUGAGGCACGAAAGCGUGGGGAGCAAACA